UUGCUUUAUCUCGUUUGUUCUUUUGAUCAGAUUUAUUUUUUGGUUUUUGUUCUAUACAUCAAAGAUCGUGAAAAUUGAAUCAAAUUGAAAAGUUAAAAUACUUUGUACAAAUUGUUUACACAAUUAUAUUAUGUAAUUUUAUAUUUAUUUUUGUUGGAAUAAUAAUAUAACAUGAAUAUGACACGUAUAUAUGCUAUAUGCUCACCUUUUGCAAUAUUCGAUAAAUGAAGCAAGCUACCAAUCGAUUAAGAUAAUUAAUUAAAUUAAAUUAAUUAGCAACUUCGAUAUUGCACACAUUCGUAAAAUAUUAACGAGAUUGUAUUGUACGAAACUGUUUCGCCUCGGUUAAAAUUCCAAUUUUAAAAUUUGUUAAUAUUAAUCUCUCUGAAUUUUUAACAUCAAUGUCAAGCUCAUUUUCACCACCAACCGUAAAUUUUAUACGAUUUCCAUUCAUAAUGCAUUAUGAUUGAAUAAUUUUCGAUGAAAUUAGGAAGAAAAAUAAAAAAAUAAAAAAAAAGAAAAGUACGAAUAAUUAAAAAAUAUUCAAUUAUCCUUUCAAUUCGUUUCCCUUAUGAAAUUUUUAAUAUUUAUCGUAUCGACGACAUCGUCUAGUAUAUGAUAUUAAAAAUUAAAAAUCAGUUACUGUAAAUGUGGGCAAGGAUCGCACCAAGCAUGUUCAAUUUCGAAAGAACAAAGUUUCCCAUUCAAAUCUAUACAUGUUGAUUACAUUAUAAAUAGUAACUACUAUAUCAUUAAUUUUAAAUGAUGAUUCGUCGCUGAAAUUAAUAUUAAACACGUAGAUCAGAUAAACAGCAAUUGAUUUAUCAUUGAUUGCCUUCGAGGAAUUCAUCUCUUCGCUAAUUAGAUAGGGAUCACAAGUCGCCCUCUCUGCCAUAAAUGUGUCGAUAUUUCGAUCAAUCACGAGAAUAAAUUCCAUUGAAAAAUAAUUAUCUCAAUUAUCUCGAUAUAUCUACAAUGAGAAUUUUAAUUUUAUUUAGAAAAAAUUCACGAGUGAAGAACGACGAGUUAAGAUAAAUAAAUAAUAAAUAAAAAAAUAAAACAAUACGCUAAGACAUGUAUCAUAAGAUCAAAUAUUUUCAUAUAUUUCGAAAAUAGGAAAAAGAAAGAAUUUUAGAAUUUAUCGCGCAAUAGAGAUUCGAAUAACAAUGGAGAGCACGCAUGAAACGCAUGAUAUUCGGAUAACAACGUAUAAAGUCGAGUAUCUUCGAUCCUGUGUACGCGCACCGUAUGUAAUCGUAUAGUCAUAAUUUUGCUACAAUAUACAUGUAGCGCACGGUUGCGUGUCAUGAAACGCAAAUGCGCAUUCCUCAUUGGAACACGUAGUUUGAUUUAUGCUCACGAACUCUCACGGUGUUUCCAGGACUACACACUACACGUGGGAGAUAAUAGUGUGAAUCAACCUCGAUCCAAUCCAUCCAAACUUUCACGCUUUCGGUGAUUUAAUUCUUCUUUCGAUUAAUCAUAUUACAUGAGUCAUGUAAUUCGAUUUUUUUAAUAAUCAUCUUUUUGAUUUUAUUUUAUUUUAAUUGUCUCUUUGAUACGAGUGGUUAAUUAUACUACGUAAAUAAAUCGCGACACGUACAAUUCUUUCGUAAUUAUUUUCUUUUUAAUUUAUUUUAUUUUUAAUUUAAUUAUCAAUAUAAUUUCAUAUUUCACUUAUUUUACGUAAGUAAACUGUAACGAUUUUUUAAAAUCUUUUAUUUUAUGUUUAAUUUUAUUUAUUAUUAAAUUGUCUUUCAGCUAACCUAUUCACUGAUAUGAAAUUGUAUAUUCUUAUAAAAUUAUCAUCAGUUUAAAAAUGUUUGUUUAUGAAGAAGUUUCCUUAAUCGAUUAAAAAAUUAUACAUAUAUGUAUUUAAGCAUGAGUAAUUUUUUUCAAGGGACAGUAUCUGAUAUUUAACCAUACAGGCUGAUGACAAUAGCGAGGAUCAAGUUUAGAACGUUUAUUGUCCUCUCGCACGCAAUCGAGUAUGCAAAAGCCAUUCGAAAAACACAUUUAGAACUUCUUGUUGAAUAGUCACGUUUUUAAAAAAAGCAGAAAGAAGAAUUCAACUAAGAGUAUCACUAAGAAUUUUUUAAUCCAAGGAUAAUUAAAAUUUUCCAAGGUUGCAAAACGUGUGAAACGAAUUUUGGCGUUGUUUAGAUAAAACGAUAAGAAACCAUGGAAUGACCGACCAGCCAGUUCUUCCUCCUGUCUCCUCCACUCUAUUAGAUUUUUAUCCGCGAGCUAAAAUAAAAAAAAUGCGGUUUAUCACGACGAAGCCAACAACACGGCGUAGCAUAUAAAAGAAAAAAAUUACAGCUGCAUGUGAAUCAAUAACGUGUCAAGAAAUAGAAAAAGUUGAUUAAAAUAUUUUUCAGUUAUAUAUUGAGAUAAACGAUUAAUAUUUUGAACACCUAUAGGAAAUUUAAGAAAUACUGAAAUAUAAAUUGCAUUGCAAAUCCAUAGCUUUUAAUCGCUGAAUAUCUAUAUUCAUGUUUUUAUACGUAUAUAUGAAUUAACAUAGAAGAAACAUACGUAAAACUUUUAGAAGAAUCGAAUAAUUAUUCUUCUCAAUGCUGCAAAUAUUAAUAUCAAUUUAAUUUGUAUCAAUUUGCAGAAUUCUUUUAUAAGAAAAUUUUUUGAAAUUAUGAAAUUCUAACCUAACUUUCGAUUAAAUUCUUCAAU